GAUGAACGCUGGCGGCGUGCCUAAUACAUGCAAGUCGAGCGAACGGACGAGAAGCUUUCUUCCCUGCUGUUAGCGGCGGACGGGUGAGUAACACGUGGAUAACCUACCUAUUAGACUGGGAUAACUUCGGGAAACCGGAGCUAAUACCGGAUAAUAUUUUGAACCGCAUGGUUCAAAAGUGAAAGACGGUCUUGCUGUCACUUAUAGAUGGAUCCGCGCUGCAUUAGCUAGUUGGUAAGGUAACGGCUUACCAAGGCAACGAUGCAUAGCCGACCUGAGAGGGUGAUCGGCCACACUGGAACUGAGACACGGUCCAGACUCCUACGGGAGGCAGCAGUAGGGAAUCUUCCGCAAUGGGCGAAAGCCUGACGGAGCAACGCCGCGUGAGUGAUGAAGGUCUUCGGAUCGUAAAACUCUGUUAUUAGGGAAGAACAUAUGUGUAAGAAACUGUGCACAUCUUGACGGUACCUAAUCAGAAAGCCACGGCUAACUACGUG
rnacentral:rRNA from 1 species